UAUUAAAAAUUUCAUCCAUUUCUAUUGUUAAAAAUUGAUGCAAUUGACAGAAUAACUAAACAGUUACAUUUAACAUGCCCCGUGUACCUCAUUCUAAUGUACAUGAACUAGUUUUUAAUAGUAGAAAUGGAUGAAAUUUUAACA
rfam:Gossypium arboreum cultivar AKA8401 contig_12849_1, whole genome shotgun sequence.